GCCCCCGUAGCCCAGCUGGCAGAGGCAACCGGCUUAAACCCGGUCGAGGGCGGGUUCGAGUCCCGCCGGGGGCA
rnacentral:tRNA from 1 species